rnacentral:rRNA from 1 species
UCACUCAAAGAUGAUCCCGCGUUGUAUUAGCUAGUUGGUGAGGUAAAGGCUCACCAAGGCGAUGAUACAUAGCCGACCUGAGAGGGUGAUCGGCCACAUUGGGACUGAGACACGGCCCAAACUCCUACGGGAGGCAGCAGUAGGGAAUCUUCGGCAAUGGACGAAAGUCUGACCGAGCAACGCCGCGUGAGUGAAGAAGGUUUUCGGAUCGUAAAACUCUGUUGGUAGAGAAGAACGUUGGUGAGAGUGGAAAGCUCAUCAAGUGACGGUAACUACCCAGAAAGGGAUGGCUAACUACGUGCCAGCAGCCGCGGUAAUACGUAGGUCCCGAGCGUUGUCCGGAUUUAUUGGGCGUAAAGCGAGCGCAGGUGGUUUAUUAAGUCUGGUGUAAAAGGCAGUGGCUCAACCAUUGUAUGCAUUGGAAACUGGUAGACUUGAGUGCAGGAGAGGAGAGUGGAAUUCCAUGCGUAGCGGUGAAAUGCGUAGAUAU